UGCCUCUUAAUCCCAGAAUGAUAUCUGAAA
rnacentral:piRNA from 1 species